AUUCGGUACGCGGUCUGCAACCGGGAGCUCCGGUAGAGUUCCGGGGUAUUCGCCUGGGUACCAUAAGCAAAGUGCCAUUCUUUGCGCCGAAUA
rnacentral:tRNA from 1 species